rnacentral:lncRNA from 1 species
GAAGCCACGUCCUUCAGUCACAACUGAUGGACUUGUUGAUCUAAAAUCUCAAUUGAUACUUCCUCAUAAGAUAAAAAAUCUGAGACACCAACACUCUUCAAAGGAAAAACCAAGGAAAGAUCACCCACAUACUUCUUCAACAUUGACACAUAAAAGACCGGAUGGAUAGAUCCCAAACUCAAAGGAAAAUCUAACUCAUAAUCCACCUUGCGCACUCAAAUCUGAAUACA